UUAGUUGUGUCCAAGUGGUUAAGGCAAUGGAUUAGAAAUCUAUUGGGGUCUCCCCAUGCAGGUUCAAAUCCUACUGACUAUG